UACAGAGGGUGCGAACGUUGUCCGGAAUCACUGGGCGUAAAGGGCGCGUAGGUGGCUUGAUAAGUCGGGGGUGAAAUCUCGCGGCUCAACUGCGAGGCUGCCUCCUAAACUGUCGGGCUUGAGCAGAGUAGAGGCAGGUGGAAUUCCCGGUGUAGCGGUGGAAUGCGUAGAGAUCGGGAAGAACAUCGGUGGCGAAGGCGGCCUGCUGGGCUCUUGCUGACACUGAGGCGCGACAGCGUGGGGAGCGAACAGG
rnacentral:rRNA from 1 species